CAGAAGGGAUGCAUCUGUUCACCAACAAGAAAAGGUAACGCCUACCAUCUCCAGGUGUGACAGAAGACAGGCUGAGGAAGAAGAGCUGGAGAGUUUGUGAAAGUAAAUUCUGCAGGAUCUGCCCACAAAUGGAGGAUAUCUGCCUGUCAUCGCAAUAGCACCAAAGGAUAGAAACAAGGACAAUGGAUG
rnacentral:lncRNA from 1 species